CUCGCUGCAACAGUAUGAUAAUAUUUCACGUCGUAAUAUAAUACGAGUGGUGCACAGAUAUAUUUAUGUAUGCUUGACGCGCGUUUUAUAGAGGCAGUCCAGUAAUUCACUCACUUGUACCUUAAGCACGUUGCCAUCAAGAUUUUCAGUAAUAAUAAUAUAACAUAACUAACCAGGAGCCGUGAAUAAUCCUGUCCCUAGCCAUGGUCGGAUAAAUUUGUACAACUCUUCCUUUUCGAUGGUUUUUUGACUGAGGAAAAUUGUCUGAAAAAUGAUCAGGUCCACCUGGGUAGAAAUAUGGAAAACAGCGGAAACAACGAAACUCUCAAGACAUCGAAAAAGUUUCAUCAAGUUCGAAAAAUAUCUCGGAAAAAUAUCUUGGCCCGUUUGACGUGGAAAGCGCCGAAUAUACACCAUUUAUUCUUUGGUAAUCGCAUGAACAGUUUCAUGACAAUAUUCCACAUCGCAUAGAUUGCUGCAGCUCUCAUGUGAUAUAUACUUAAAUACAAUUAUAAUUUACAAUGGUCUGUAAAUGAUGUAUUCCAAAAUUUAAUAAAAACGCUUAAAUUUA